GCGGAAAGCCGCUAGGGUUCCGGCCGGUCCGCAAGGUGAUGCGGGUCCGGCGACUGGUCCGAGAGCGGCGACCUGUCCGGUGAACAGCGGACGGGCACACGGCGGGACAAAAGCCCGGGAGGU
rnacentral:sRNA from 2 species